GAGUUYGAUCAUGGCUCAGARUGAGCGCUGGCGGCGCGCCUAACACAUGCAAGUCGAGCGAGGCCGCGGAGCAAUCCGCGAGUCGAGCGGCGAACGGGUGAGUAACGCGUGGGUAACCUGCCCUGGAGUGGGGGAWWRSYYCYYSRAARRRGGGGGUAAUACCGCAUACGUUCGCCGGAGCACAAGCUCUGGCGAGGAAAGGCUGGGACCCUUCGGGGCCAGCCGCUCCUGGAUGGGCCCGCGUCCGAUUAGCUAGUUGGUAGGGUAACGGCCUACCAAGGCGACGAUCGGUAGCCGGCCUGAGAGGGUGAUCGGCCACAUUGGGACUGAGACACGGCCCAGACUYCUACGGGAGGCAGCAGUGGGGAAUCUUGGGCAAUGGGCGAAAGCCUGACCCAGCGACGCCGCGUGGGGGAUGAAGGCCUUUGGGUUGUAAACCCCUGUCAGGGGGGACGAAAGCCUUUCGGUGAAUAGUCGGGAGGUUUGACGGUACCCCCAAAGGAAGCCCCGGCUAACUCCGUGCCAGCCGCCGCGGUAAUACA
rnacentral:rRNA from 1 species